UAAUUGUGUUUAGGGAGCGACCGGCUCUUGGUCAGUAUUGGCUGGACUUGAGGAGGGGCUUCUUCUUUACAAGUCCUUUUUUGACAAGGCAUUGAAGCAUGGAUUUUCAAGAGGGAGAGAUGGACAUUAACUCAUUUGCUGUAGACCCCACCUAUUGAAAUCAUGAUGCUACAUCCACAAGAUGAGCAGCAACAGAUUGAAUUCCUGAAUUCGUUUAGUCUCAUCUCCAGCAUGAGUUAAAAUUUGGGUCUGAAACCCAGGUGGACUGUUGAGUAGUCCAAAUCUGAAUUUCUACUGGAGUCUUGCCAGAUGAUAUCAGGAACAAGGUAACUUCUAAUGUGUGAUUUGCCGAUUGCCACCAGUCAAAAAGAUCACCUUACAUAAGGUUACUGGAUUGGUGACUGGAUGUUGAUCUUAACAUGUAAGGAUUUGUAAAAUGAAUGCCAAUACAUUUCAACUGUUUAUGUAGGUUACUACAAAUAAAGUCUA